AGCCAGGCGGGGAAGAUAAGCCCAGGGAGCAGGAAGGCUGAGGGUGAAGACCCUGAGUUGGGCCAGGGCUUGGUAUGUAGAAGGAACACGAAAAGACCAGUAUGACAAGAGAAUUGGGCAAGAGGGGUUAGUAGACUGAGACUAGGGAGGAGAGGUCGGUGGGAUUCCAUCUCCAGGGCUUGGGUGAGGAUCUGGGGCUGGCCCUGCAGGAGGUGGAAGCCAGCCAGUUACAAGCAACCGAGCGUCCGGAUCUGAUCUGUAUUUUGAAAAGAUCCCUCUGACCACGGUGCGAAGCCCGCUGGGGAGCGGCGCAAGUGCCUGUGUGCAGAUCGGUUAUGCACACUGCAUUAAUCCAGGACCCCUCACUGAGCAAUGCGUAGACCCGAAGGCUCCGGAAUUACCUGCCGCGCGAAGCUGGAGACCAGGGAGCGGGCGAACAAUGAGGAGAACUGCACAUGCGCAGAAGGAGCCGUGAGGGGCCAGUUCCCUGCGCUCUCCUCCCGGUAAUCCUUCAAAUUCGGGACUCCGUUUCCCAUAAGUCUCAGCGCCCCCUUCCUUAGAGAAUGUCAGAAGAGUUCCUGCUUUACUUGCAUGUCAACCAUCACUGGUGAAUUAUCAUGCCCUUUAUGAAUCUACGAAUACCUUCAGGCAAAGCUCUCACCAUGCCAAAUAUCAAAAACCUUCUACUUUUGUUCAGCGUUAUGAAUAUGGUGAACGCAGCAUGGCUUUUAGCUAUAGAUCACAACUUACUGAACACCAGCGAAUUCACAAGGUAGAGAAAGCCCACAGAUACGAUGAAAAUGCAAAGGACUUUAGGCAUCCCGCAUCAUUUACAGUGGUCCAAAGAAUUUACAUUCUGGAUAAACACCUUGAACGUAACCAAUGUGGCAAAACCUUUAACAGAGCUUCAAAGUUUAUUCAACAUCAGUGCACACACGGCGGACUGAAACCACACAAGUGUGAUGUGUGUCCGAGGGCCUUCAGGUUUCUUUCAUCCCUUAUUACACAUCAGAGAUUUCAUGCUGGCAAGAGAUCAAAUCUGACUCAGCAUCAAAUAAUUCCUCCACAAAAGAAACUCUUUGUCUGUACAUUUUGUGGAAGGACCUUUCACAGUUUCUCAGAAAAAAUUCAACACCAAAAAACUCAUACUAGAAAGAAAUAUUACACAUGUAAUCACUGCAGAAAGGACUUCAAUCCAUAUUCAGUUUCUCUUACAUCAAAGAGUUCAUAUUGGAGAGAGACCCUACAAAUGUAAUGAUUGUGAAAAAUCCUUUAAAAGCCAAUCGAAUCUUAAGAAACAUCAGAAAAUUCAUACUGGAGAGAAGCCCUUUUCAUGGAAUGAAUGUGAGAAGACCUUUACCCAGCUCAUAGAUCUUAAUCGUCAUCAACAAAUCCACACUGGGGAGAAACUUUACAUCUGUGAUAACUGUAAAAAGACCUUUGUCCGUUUCUCAGAUCUAACGCGACACCGAAGAACUCAUACUGGAGAGAGACCCUACAAAUGUAAUGUUUGUGAAAAAACCUUUAAACAUCAGUCAAAUGUUAUUAAACACCAGAAAAUUCAUUCUGAAGAGAGGCCCUUUACAUGCGACAGAUGUGAAAGUACCUUUCGCUAUUACUCUGAGCUUAACCGACAUAAAAAAAUUCAUACUAAAGAGAAACCCUAUAAAUGUAGUGAGUGUCAAAAGUUUUUUAACCAUAGUUCAAACCUUAGUAAGCAUAUGAAAAUCCAUACUGGAGAGAAACCCUUCAUAUGUAAUCAAUGUGGAAAAGCUUUCAGUCUAAACUCUAUAAACUUUCUUGACAUCUGAAAACUCAUAAUAAAAAGAAACCCUAAGACUAUAGAAGAUGCAGGAAGGCACUUAGAAAUCACUUACAUUUUACUAGAAAUCAAAAAUCUGAACCAAAGAGAUCAAUGUGGGAAGGGUUUUAACCAAAGCCCAUUCUUCUGCAUGAAUUCAUCCUGUAUGGAAUAUUUUAGAAAUUUAAAUACAUGUUGAAGAAACGGGAAGAUGUGAUCAGAGAUGUACUUUCUAUAUUAUAAUUGACUCAAAUCUUUGAGCAAAAGUAGUUAAACAUGCUCAAGCAAAACGUGAAACUGAAUAAGGCAGUUCCUAUGAUGGGAAGUAGGCUAAGAGGCAGCUCCAAGGGUGUAGUAAAAAGAACAGAUUCAUUUUGCUGUUUGUUCAUAAUCUAUUUUCACUGGGUGAAUAAAGUCAUAUUUUUAAUAGAGGUAGCUCUCUAAAAGUGUAAACUUUUGUAUGGAGAGGAUGCAACCCUAACCUAAGUGUAAGUAAGGAAAACAAAAGCCAUCUCUUUGGAAUUAAAACUUCAGAGAAGAAGAAACUUUGCCAGUGAACAAUGAAAAACAAAAAGUUGGUCACUAUUUAAAAAACUAAAGGAUAAAGAGUUAAGAGGGUAGACAUGAGAAAUCCAAAGGUUGUGGGUCAGUGGUGAGAAGAUAGUUUCUGCUCCUGUUCUAAAUGAAAACAACUCGGAGACACCCAGCCUCCCCAAAUUCUUGGAUGUAUCUGGAGAACGAAGAGGAGACGGAGAGAUUGCAACAAUUCUAGGACUUAGAUUCAGGACUUGGAGAAUGUAUUACUCAUAGUGUUAUCUGUAAUAAGUUGAUUUCCUGUAUUCCCUGAUGACUAAAUCAUAAGUUUUCUAGUGCAUGCUAAUACUGGUGUGUAAUGCUGGAUACAAUCAGGUCUUGUGUCAGAAACCUAGACUUUCCUGAAUUGGUUCCCAUAAUCAUUGGUGGCAGCUUAACCCUGUUCAGCCAAGUGGGAUGGGCGUAGUCUAACAAGUCUCUUUAGGACUGGCCUCAAUCCAUAGAAAGUGAUGGAAAGACAACACUGUUUCUUCGAGGGUCAUCUUCUCAACUUUCUGACCUCUGCUUUCCCAGAUAUUAGAGUAUAAUAGUGGCUGCCACAGAGCUAAAUUGUUGUAAUCCCCAGAUGUGGCCCCUCGUCUCAUGAUUGUUCCUUAUGUGCUUUUUAUCUCUAAGAAAAGGUGUGUACAUAAGUUCACUUUUUGCAAAUAACCUAUAAAACUAUAAUGUGUCUGUUAAGUUACAUAUGAGCUGAAAAUGCAACUGAAAUAAGUUUUUAAAUGAGUGCAAAAUAAAUGUUAUAAAUACAAUUAUAAAAAUGUAAAAUGGUUAUUGGAAUAAGGAGGGGAAAAUUUGGCAAUUACUCCUAAUUUUGGUCCCUAAAAUUCUGGUUUAGAGUCAAAUUUAACAGGAAUUAUUUUAUGUGCUUAAAAACAUUAAGAAUUUCCAACAUGGCCCCUAACUGUAAAGUCUAUAUUGUAAGGAGAAAAGAAAGAAGCAUAAUAGAACAGAAUAGCUUGUACUGAAAAGUCUAGUAUUCCAAAUUUGCUAACACCAGACUCAACAGAAGCCUAGAUUCCAAUAAGCAAUGUCUAACAUAUUCUUUUUAUAUCUGUUGCUAUGUUUCCUGGGAACUAUCACUAAUUAUAAGCCAAAAGUCUCUAAUUAUAUGAAAAUAAAAAGGAUAAAAGGAUAGUCAUUAUGCAAAAGUUAGGCCAUUCAAGACAUUCUCAUUGGCAAGUUUCAGCUGAAAAAUCUUAAUUUCCUAUCGGAUUUUAAUAUUAAAACACAUAAGAUAUUUCUACUGUUUAAGCAAAUAAUAGAGUUGUCGGUAUGGUAAGUGGAGAGAGAAGAUAGAAAUGCUUAUAUAGAGGCUUAAAAUGUCAUCUAAACACUAACAUAGUGUGCACAACUUCCUUUUUUUGCUUUUAAUAAUUAAUUCCUUAUUUAAAUCCACUGUCACAUGUUUGAGGACAGAAUCCAACAGGGUGUUGUAGGUUGACAUGAGUUGCUCCAAAAGAUACACUGAAGUCUUAACCCCUGUGUGCAGGAAAAACUCAAUUCUCCUGUGUUUCUCCUUUAUCCCACACUACCACCACAUUCACACUUGUGACACCAGAUGUGUGGGUUUUCUUCCCACACCAAGCAAUUCUGUGAUACUGUUGAGUGUCUUAUAAUUUAACUAAUUUCUGACUAUACCCACCUGGGGGUAGUGUCAGAUCCCACAGGGUAAGGGUACAAGUCCCACAAGACUGCCCCUCAACCCCAACUUCAAAUCCCAAGUCCAGGUUGUCACCUGUGCUUCUGACUGAUUGGCUAUAAAUCAGAGGUUCCCGUGACCCUCUCCUAGAGUUUGAUUAACUUGCUAGAGCAACUCACAGAACUCAGGUGAACAGUUUACUUGCUGUUUACCAGUUUAUUAUAAAAGGAUAUGAUAAAGGAUACAGGUGAACAUUUAGAUGGAAGACAUGCAUAGGGCAAGGUAUGUGGGAAUGGGCAUGGAGCUCCUGGGGAAGCCACUCUCCCAGAACCUCCACCUGGAAGUUCCAAACCCCAUACUGUUGGGGUUUUUAUGGAGGUUCCAUCAUGCAGGCAGGAUGUGGAACCAGGAGGAUGGAAUACAAUGGUUAGUCCCCUUAUUACCACCUCUGCAGAUGAAGGGAUUUGGGUCCAUUACUAGAAGGCUAUGGAGACAGAGUUAGAAGACAAAACCCAACCUGUUCAAUCUGAGAAUUUAAAGCACCAUAAAUUAGGAAAUUAUAAGCUACUAAAUUAUCAUAGGAACAGUUGGUUUUAAUGUGGAAUGAAAUAAGGUUAGAUCCUCAAACAUACUGUCACACAACAAUGUGGAAAGGAACAGAUUAACUUAAACAUCAUCUUUUUCAUUAUUUUAAAAGGGAGGCACACGUGGCAUAAUGUCUGAAUUGUUGAACGUUUUCAUGGUGCCUAGUGAAUGUUACAACACACUUAUUAAACACACUCUAUUUUAUUCUCCUGUGUGAGUUUUCUGAUGUGAUAAUGAGGUUUGAUUUAUGGCUGAAAGUUUUCUCACAUUAAUUGUGUUUAUACAAUUUCACUCCUCUAUGCCUAUCCACAGAGUUUUAGCAUUGUGUACAUUACAUGAUUUGUUCCUUUGUUGAUCACCACUUUCUCGGAGCUCAUUCCUUAUGAGUUUUCUGAUGUAGCAGGAAGUUUGAUUUGUGGCAAAAUGUUUUCUCGCAUCCGUGACACUCACAGGGUUUCUCCCUAUGUGUAUUUUCUGAUGUUCAGUGAGAGUCCACAGCCGAUGGUAGGCUUCCCCACACUUGUUACAUUCCUAGGGUUUCUCUCCCAUAUGAAUUCUCUGAUGUACUCUGAAGGCUGACUUAUGGCAGGAUUUCCCACGUUCAGCACAUUCUUACGGCUUCUACCCAGUGUGAGUUCGCUGGUGUUGAACAAGGGAGAACUUCUGCUGGAAGGUUUUCCCACAUUCAUUACACUCGUAGGGUCUCUCUCCUGUGUGUGUCCUCUGAUGGCGAGUGAGGGCCGACUUCUGGCAGUAGCUUCUCCCAUACUCGCUACAUUCAUAUGGUCUCUCCCAUAUAGUUCUCUGAUGCUUGAUGUGUGAGUUUUUGUUGAUGGCGUGUCCAUGUCCGUUGCACUCAUAAAGAUUCCCCUUUGUGUGCACUCUCAUAUUCCCUGUGGUUUGACGUCACAGCGAAUGUUCUACCACAUUUCUUAAAGACACUGCGUUUCUCUCUAGUGUGAGUUCUGUGAUGUAUAGUGAGUGUUGACUUAUGGCAGAAAAAUUUCCCACAUUUGUUACAUAGGUAAGAUUUCUCUCCUCUAUGAGUUAUCUAAUGUGCCGUGAGGGCUGCUUUAGUACAUAAAUUUUUUCCACACUGACUGCAUUCGUAGGGUUUCUCUCCUGUGUGAGGUCUCUGAUGCACAUCGAAGGCUGAAUGACAGAAGGUUUUCCCACAUUCUUCACAUUCAUUUGGUUUCUCUCCUCUGUGAGUUUGCUGAUGAACAGCGAGGUAAGAUUCUUGUUGAAGGUGUUCCCACAUUCUUUGCAUUUGUAAGGUUUCUCCCGCGUGUGACCUGAAAUGUUCAGUGAGGGCUGACUUCCCAAAAAAGGUCUUCCCACAUUCAUGACACUCAUAGGAUUUCUCCCCUCUGAAUUUUCUGAUGCACGACGAGGGCCAAUUUGUCAGUGAAGGUUUUUCCACAUUCGCUUCAUUCAUAGGGUCGAUCUCCAGUAUGAAUUCUUCGGUGUCGAGUAAGGUUCGUCUUUACACGGAAAGUUUUCCUACAGUCAUUACGAACAUAGGGUUUCUCCCCUGUAUGAAAUCUCUGUGUACAAUGAGGGUGGACUUCUUAGAAAAGGUUUUCCUACAUUCAUUACAUUAACUUGGUUUCCUUUCAGAAUGUACCCUGUUCUAUGUGAAGAGGACUGCCCUCUUGAAGCGGUUUUCCCACAUUUUCCAUAGCCAAAAGGUCGCUUCAAAGCCUGAAUGUUCUGCUGCAGAAUCAAAUCUUCAUUUUGACUUCUGGCUUUCCUAACUGGAUUAUAUUUGUAUUGUUUCAUUCCAGAACGACUUUUCUCUUGCUUAGAAACGAGUUGUGUUUUCCCACAUUCACCAGGAACCUUUUAAAAGUAGCUUUUCUUUGCAAGGAUUACUUCUGAAUUAGUUUUUAAACUGUUUCCACAUGGAUAUCUGUAGGGUGUUUUUCUUGAGGGAAUAAUAUUCAUGCCCAGAUUAAAUGUUUUCUCAAAUACAGUAGCUCUCUCUGUAAUCAGUGUUUUAUUGCAGAAGAAUACAAUUUGCCUCAAAUGUUUGCCUUGGAUUUCCUUGUCCUCCUUUAAGGCAUCAUCAGUCUAGGAGGGAGUACCAUUAAUAAUAACUUGUGAUCCGUGACACACUUGCUAUGAAAUGAGAGUUCCUUACAAAUGCCUUGUUGUGGUGGACUGGCCCAGCUCUUCAGGAUUAAGGAAAUGUCAAAUACAAACAUCUCCGACUGAUUCGGGGGAAAGAAAAAAACAAACAAUAGAAAAAAAGCCAGCCCACCCACACCAGCCUGUUUAACAGGAUGAAAGGAAGAGGAAAGUAGCAAAGAAUACGAGUACCUCUGCCAUGGAAAAAGGAAAACAGUCACAAGGAACAGUAAGCACAAAGUAUACUGCAAGUGUGUCUGACACAGUAUUGAAUAAGACAGAUGAGACUCAAAGAAGCACUCAGAGACAGUGAGACCAGCAGAACAGACUUCAGAGAGAUGGUCAGAGUUACCAAGAGACACAGAGGAAGGGAUGCCAUGCUCGAGUCUGUGAAGGAUACAAGUAGAGAUGUCCAGUGGGCAGUUGGAUAUUUGGUUCUGAAGCUCAGAAGAGAGAGUGGUGACCAAAAGCAAUAUUAGAAGGCAUAAAUAACGGGGAAGAUCUCUAUGGACCAAUAUGGAGAUUCCCAGGCUAUAUUGACAUUCUCAUUGAUGCAUUUCAAGGAAGGUGUGGUCAGACUGUCAAAUGCAACAAAGAGUUUAGUAAAGCAUGAACUGGAAAAUACCCACUGGAUUUGAAAAUAUUUACUAGAACAGAUUCAUGAGUGUGGUGACGGCAGAAACAAGACUGCAUCAAGUGAGUUGAAAUGACAUGAGCAGGUGAGAACCGUGGUUCAAGCAAUUCAGAACAAUCAGAGAGUGGAGGGCACUUCCCUGGUGGGCCAGUGGGUAAGACUCCACGCUCCCAAUGCAGGCGGGCCCAGGUCCAAUCCCUAGCCGGGGAACUAGAUCCUGCAUGCAUACCAUAACUAAGACCCAGUGCAGCCAAAAAUAAAUAAGUAAAUGAAAAUAAAAUCUUAAAAAAAAAAAGACAGAGUGGAGAUUGCAGGGAAUGACAUGUAUGUGUUUAGGAAGUAAUCUCCUUAGCUACGCCUGGUACCCCUUGCCUCCAACUCACAGCCUCACCAAUCCUCCAAUGAAGUGUCUUUUCCUGACACAUCUGUACCCUGCCCUUCCCCUUCCAUUGCAACUCGCAUCUUUCUUCUGAAAGUUGAACUGAGGCUUUGCUGAGUCAUAAUAAUCAAUGGUCUUUGAAUAUGGUAUGAUCACCCAGAUUCUGCUCACCCUGGAGAGGAAAAUUCUGGUCCAGUAACUCUUUUUUUUUUUUUGCAGUA